rfam:Mus musculus chromosome 5, GRC primary reference assembly.
GGAGAGAUGGCUCAGUGGUUAAGAGCACUGGUUGCUCUUCCAGAGGUCCUGAGUUCAAUUCCCAGCCAUCACCU